rnacentral:rRNA from 1 species
GAUGAACGCUGGCGGCGUGCCUAAUACAUGCAAGUCGAGCGAACAGACGAGGAGCUUGCUCCUCUGACGUUAGCGGCGGACGGGUGAGUAACACGUGGAUAACCUACCUAUAAGACUGGGAUAACUUCGGGAAACCGGAGCUAAUACCGGAUAAUAUAUUGAACCGCAUGGUUCAAUAGUGAAAGACGGUUUUGCUGUCACUUAUAGAUGGAUCCGGGCCGCAAUAGCUAGUUGGUAAGGUAACGGCUUACCAAGGCAACGAUGCGUAGCCGACCUGAGAGGGUGAUCGGCCACACUGGAACUGAGACACGGUCCAGACUCCUACGGGAGGCAGCAGUAGGGAAUCUUCCGCAAUGGGCGAAAGCCUGACGGAGCAACGCCGCGUGAGUGAUGAAGGUCUUCGGAUCGUAAAACUCUGUUAUUAGGGAAGAACAAAUGUGUAAGUAACUAUGCACGUCUUGACGGUACCUAAUCAGAAAGCCACGGCUAACUACGUG